rnacentral:rRNA from 1 species
CACGCAAAAACCCACUCCCGGAACGGGGAGGUAGUGACAAAAAAUAACGAUACGGGACUCGAUAUGAGGCCUCGUAAUCGGAAUGAGUACACUCUAAAUCCUUUAACAAAAAUCUAUUGGAGGGCAAGUCUGGUGCCAGCAGCCGCGGUAAUUCCAGCUCCAAUAGCGUAUAUUAAAGUUGUUGCGGUUAAAAAGCUCGUAGUUGGUUCUGCGUCCCGCGCUGUCGGUACACCGUUUGUCGGUGACACUGGCAUGACGCGGGAUGUCCUGUCGGUGGCGGCGGAGACCAUAUCGUCGUCGGAUAACACCGCGGCGUGUUGGCCUUCUGUCGCCGGCUAUAUCCUACCGCGGUGCUCUUCACUGAGUGUCGAGGUAGGCCGACACGUUUACUUUGAACAAAUUAGAGUGCUUAAAGCAGGCAAAAAUCUCUGCCAGAAUAGUGGUGCAUGGAAUAAUGGAACAGGACCUUGGUUCUAUUCUGUUGGUCUCCGGAACACAAGGUAAUGAUCAAUGUGGACAGGCGGGGGCAUUCGUAUUGCGGCGUUAGAGGUGAAAUUCUUGGAUCGUCGCAAGACGCACUAGAGCGAAAGCAAUUGCCAAGUAUGUCUUAAUUGAUCAAGAACGAAAGUUAGAGGUUCGAAGGCGAUCAGAUACCGCCCUAGUUCUAACCAUAAACGAUGCCAGCCAGCGAUCCGCCGAUGUUCCUUUGAUGACUCGGCGGGGAGCUUUCCCCGGGAAACCAAAGCUUUUGGGUUCCGGGGGAAGUAUGGUUGCAAAGCUGAAACUUAAAGGAAUUGACGGAAGGGCACCACCAGAAGUGGAGCCUGCGGCUUAAUUUGACUCAACACGGGAAACCUCACCAGGUCAGGACAUUGGAAUGAUUGACAGAUUGAUAGCUCUUUCUGGAUUCA